AUCAUGCGAGUCGAACGGUACGGAGGGCUUCGGCCCUCACGACCGUGGCAUCCGGGUGAGUAACACGUAGGUGACCUACCUCUCGGUGGGGGACAACCCCGGGAAACCGGGGACAAUACCGCAUACGAUCCAUCGGAUACGUCUGGUGGAUGAAAGAUUUAUCGCCGAGAGAGGGGCCUGCGGCCGAUUAGCUAGUUGGUGAGGUAAUGGCUCACCAAGGCGAUGAUCGGUGGCUGGUCUGAGAGGAUGAUCAGCCACACUGGGACUGAGAUAUGGUCCAGAGCCCUACGGGGUUUAGCAUGAAGGAAUCUUGCGCAAUGGGGGAAACCCUGACGCAGCAACGCCGCGUGGGCGAUGAAGGCCCUAGGGUCGUAAAGCCCUUUUCUGGGUGAUGAAAAUGACAGUAGCCCAGGAAUAAGCCACGGCCAACUACGUGCCAGCAGCCGCGGCAAUACGUAGGUGGCGAGCGUUAUCCGGAAUUACUGGGCGUAAAGAGCACGUAGGCGGACCGGUAGGUUGUUCGUGAAAUGUCGAGGCUUAACCUCGGCACGCCGGGCAAUACCGCCGGUCUUGAGGCUGGGAGAGGGAAGCGGAACUUCCGGUGUAGUGGUGGAAUGCGUAGAUAUCGGAAGGAACACCAGCGGCGAA
rnacentral:rRNA from 1 species